AAAUAAAGGAAGAUAAACAAAGACGUCUACAGUGAAUUUACUCGCUUUCAAACUGGCACUUUCGUGCCAGUUUCCUACCCCGAAGACUUUUCUUGAUGCGUUUUACGUGUUUCUGCCCCAUGCUUUGCCCAGUCUUCCUUUGAAGCCGUCCCCUCUCUACAUCUCUCUCUCUCUCUCAUAUAAUGCCUUUGUUUUGUGCAACUCUCCAUUCUUGCAGGAUUGUCUCCUUCAUUUGGUGGAAUUUCUGAGAAUCAUUGUUGAUCAGUCUACAGUUCGGUAGUAUCGUGGUUUCAUUUGCAGGAUCGUUUACGCCCAAAAAAAUUUCUGACUGAAGUCUGCAUAUUUAUCACUGCAAAAUGUUUGGUUUAAAGAAAUCUCCCGUGAAGAUUGCAAAACAUAACUCAGUUGAUCCUGGAUAUGCUGUUCAUUCUAGCUCAAACCCUUUUGGCCAUGAUGAUAAGUUAAAUAAUAAGCAAAAACACAAUUCCUCAAGGAGGACUUCUUCUGAGUCUUCCCUAAUGACACCAAACUUUGGCACCAACCCUUUUGAUGAUGAUGAGCGGCAAACAACCUCCUCUUCUUCAUCUCCUUAUGCACUUACUUCAGCAGCGAGAAACAAGUACAAGAAUGAUUUCCGUGACUCAGGUGGAUUAGACAAUCAAUCUGUGCAAGAGCUGGAGAACUAUGCUGUUUACAAGGCUGAGGAGAAUACGAAGGCUGUCAACAGCUGCCUGAAGAUAGCUGAGGAAAUAAGAGAGGAUGCUACCAAUACUUUGGUCACCUUGCACCACCAGGGUGAGCAAAUUACCCGGACCCACAUGGUCGCUACUGACAUUGAUCAGAAUCUCAGCAGGGGUGAGAAGCUUCUUGGAAGUCUUGGUGGCAUGUUCUCUAAGACGUGGAAGCCAAAGAAGACACGCCCAGUUAGAGGCCCUGUUUUCAGAGGAGAUGAUUCAUCCAGGAGAAAGGGUAGCCACUUGGAGCAGAAGGAAAGGUUAGGAUUGAAUCCAGCCAAGGGACGGUCAAACACACCAAAUUCACUUGCUGAACCCACAAGUGCACUUCAGAAAGUUGAUAUGGAACAUUCAAAGCAAGAUGAUGCACUGUCUGAUCUGAGCAAUCUAUUGGGAGAGCUGAAGGAAAUGGCUAUUGACAUGGGCUCUGAAAUUGAGAGCCAGAACAAGGCUCUGGAUCCUUUCGAUGAAGAUGUUGAUGUGUUGGGCAGACGGGUGGAUGGUGCAAAUCAACGUGCUCGUCGUUUACUUGGAAAGUAGAGUGCAGAUUCAUAACAGUCGCAGCUGAUACUUCCAGCACUCUCCUCUCCAAUACCCAAUCACUGCUGUCGAUUUGUAGACAUAUGAAUUAGACGACCUUUGGUGCAUUUGGAGUUUUCAUGUAUUUUUGUCACAGUCGAGAGUAUAGCUAUGAUUAUGUACUAUGAUCUUAUGGGGGUUGAACUCUUUGUCUACAUCUUUUGCAAUUUAACUUCUUAUGCUUUGUUGCUAAAAAGAAAAAGAAAAGAAGUGCUUACAGAUUUUCGCUGUGUAGG